rnacentral:rRNA from 1 species
GUGGGGAAUCUUGCGCAAUGGGCGAAAGCCUGACGCAGCCAUGCCGCGUGAAUGAUGAAGGUCUUAGGAUUGUAAAAUUCUUUCACCGGGGACGAUAAUGACGGUACCCGGAGAAGAAGCUCCGGCUAACUUCGUGCCAGCAGCCGCGGUAAUACGAAGGGGGCUAGCGUUGCUCGGAAUUACUGGGCGUAAAGGGCGCGUAGGCGGACAGCUUAGUCAGAGGUGAAAGCCCAGGGCUCAACCUUGGAAUUGCCUUUGAUACUGGCUGUCUUGAGUUUGGGAGAGGUGAGUGGAACUCCGAGUGUAGAGGUGAAAUUCGUAGAUAUUCGGAAGAACACCAGUGGCGAAGGCGACUCACUGGCCCAAUACUGACGCUGAGGCGCGAAAGCGUGGGGAUCAAACAGGAUUAGAUACCCUGGUAGUCC